UUUCACUAUGAUGAAAACUUCUUUUAUUACUUUUUCUGGUACCUCUUAUGUCAGAAGCGUGUCUUCGGAUGCGUCUUCGAUGAUCUAACUGGACUUCUGAUC
rnacentral:snoRNA from 1 species